CCUACGGGUGGCAGCAGUGGGGAAUAUUGGACAAUGGGCAAAAGCCUGAUCCAGCCAUGCCGCGUGUGUGAAGAAGGCCUUCGGGUUGUAAAGCACUUUCAGUGGGGAAGAAAGCCUUGGGGCUAAUACCCUCGAGGAAGGACAUCACCCACAGAAGAAGCACCGGCUAACUCCGUGCCAGCAGCCGCGGUAAUACGGAGGGUGCGAGCGUUAAUCGGAAUUACUGGGCGUAAAGCGCGCGUAGGCGGUCUGAUAAGCCGGUUGUGAAAGCCCCGGGCUCAACCUGGGAACGGCAUCCGGAACUGUCAGGCUAGAGUGCAGGAGAGGAAGGUAGAAUUCCCGGUGUAGCGGUGAAAUGCGUAGAGAUCGGGAGGAAUACCAGUGGCGAAGGCGGCCUUCUGGACUGACACUGACGCUGAGGUGCGAAAGCGUGGGUAGCAAACAGGAUUAGAUACCCUUGUAGUC
rnacentral:rRNA from 1 species